UGAUGGCGACCGGCGCACGGGUGAGUAACGCGUAUCCAACCUACCCAUUACUAGGGAAUAACCCAGCGAAAGUUGGCCUAAUGCCCUAUGUAGUCGUUUGAUCGCCUGAGAUUUCGACGAAAGAUUUAUCGGUAUUGGAUGGGGAUGCGUCUGAUUAGCUUGUUGGCGGGGUAAAGGCCCACCAAGGCAACGAUCAGUAGGGGUUCUGAGAGGAAGGUCCCCCACAUUGGAACUGAGACACGGUCCAAACUCCUACGGGAGGCAGCAGCC
rnacentral:rRNA from 1 species